GUAUAAGUUUACCGACGCUUUUUUAAGGCGAAGAUAUUGAUUGACAUUCUGUUGACAUACGUAGUUUAUGAAUAAAAACAUAGGACGCUCCUGGAAGCGCCCUACAGAGAGUUCACAGGUGUAAAGUUUGGAUUAAAGAGCUCGGGCGUGCACAUGCCUCGAAAGGCCAGCGACAACCCUCGCUUAUAAUUCGAUAAUGAUCCUUCCGCAGGUUCACCUACGGAAA
rnacentral:misc_RNA from 1 species